CUUGACCGAGCCGAGCCACAGCGGCCGUUCGGGGUCUCGGUCCUGCCCGUAGGUGGCGAGCAGGGCCCGCGCCUC
rnacentral:antisense_RNA from 1 species